rnacentral:rRNA from 1 species
CCUUACCUACCCUUGACAUGCCAGGAACUUGCCAGAGAUGGCUUGGUGCUCGAAAGAGAGCCUGGACACAGGUGCUGCAUGGCCGUCGUCAGCUCGUGUCGUGAGAUGUUGGGUUAAGUCCCGCAACGAGCGCAACCCUUGUCAUUAGUUGCUACGAAAGGGCACUCUAAUGAGACUGCCGGUGACAAACCGGAGGAAGGUGGGGAUGACGUCAGGUCCUCAUGGCCCUUAUGGGUAGGGCUACACACGUCAUACAAUGGCCGGGACAGAGGGCUGCCAACCCGCGAGGGGGAGCUAAUCCCAGAAACCCGGUCGUAGUCCGGAUCGCAGUCUGCAACUCGACUGCGUGAAGUCGGAAUCGCUAGUAAUCGCGGAUCAGCUUGCCGCGGUGAAUACGUUCCCGGGUCUUGUACACACCGCCCGUCACACCAUGGGAGCGGG